GCAGCCGCGGUAAUUCCAGCUCCAAUAGCGUAUAUUAAAGUUGUUGCAGUUAAAACGCUCGUAGUCGGAUUUCGGGGCGGCGCCGCCGGUCUGCCGUUGGGUAUGCACUGGCGGAGGCGUCCUUCCUUCCGGAGACUGUCCCUACUCUUAACUGAGCGGGGUCGGGAGACGGAUCGUUUACUUUGAAAAAAUCAGAGUGUUUCAAGCAGGCAGUUCGCUCUUGCAUGGAUUAGCAUGGGAUAAUGAAAUAGGACUUUGGUGCUAUUUUGUUGGUUUCGAACACCGAAGUAAUGAUUAACAGGGACAGUCAGGGGCACUCGUAUUCCGCCGAGAGAGGUGAAAUUCUCAGACCAGCGGAAGACGAAACCACUGCGAAAGCAUUUGCCAGGGAUGUUUUCACUGAUCAAGAACGAAAGUUAGGGGAUCGAAGACGAUCAGAUACCGUCGUAGUCUUAACCAUAAACCAUGCCGACUAGGGAUUGGAGGAAGUCCUUAUUGACUCCUUCAGCACCUUACGGGAAACUAAAGUUUUUGGGUUCCGGGGGGAGUAUGGUCGCAAGGCUGAAACUUAAAGGAAUUGACGGAAAGGGCACCACCAGGUGUGGAGCCUGCGGCUUAAUUUGACUCAACACGGGGAAACUUACCAGGUCCAGACAUUGUGAGGAUUGACAGAUUGAGAGCUCUUUCUUGAUUCGAUGGGUGGUGGUGCAUGGCCGUUCUUAGUUGGUGGAGUGAUUUGUCUGGUUAAUUCCGUUAACGAACGAGACCUUAGCCUAUUAAAUAGUGGCGCGAACAUUUUGUUGGCGGUUCACUUCUUAGAGGGACAACUUGUUUUCAACAAGUGGAAGUUUGAGGCAAUAACAGGUCUGU
rnacentral:rRNA from 1 species